ensembl:lncRNA
UUACUUUGCUUGAUGGUAAACAGCUAUUGUUUGUAGGUCGUAGCUGUAGAAGCCUCCUCUGAGCCAUUCUGCUUACGUUUUAUGACACGGCUUACUUGAUGCGGAGUGCUGACGUGGAGGAGACUAGGGUGCCUUGGUGGUGGGAUCCUCUGAGUGUACACACCUGCCUUGUUUAAUUUAUUAGUGAUAAAAGCAAAGCAGCAGCUACUUUGGUGUGGGAUUCCACAGCUGUGUUACAGAGAUGGAGGAAGAGUUACAGGAACUCAGGGACUUGAUCGUGCAGCUGAAAGCAGACAAUGAGAGGCUGCGUCAGGAGAGGGCUGUUGGGUCAGAUGCGGAGUGCUGACGUGGAGGAGACUAGGGUGCCUUGGUGGUGGGAUCCUCUGAGUGUACACACCUGCCUUGUUUAAUUUAUUAGUGUGAGUGUGCUGCACUUGUGUCUUGGUGUAUUUUCUUUUUUUGAGUUUGUGUGUGGCAUCCCUGCCCUCCACUGGUAAGCCUCAGCUCUGAAUACCUUUUUUUGCAUACUUUUACAUUGAUAUUUAUCACUGUGCUUUUAAAUGUUGUUUUAAUUAAUAAAUUGUCAAUUUAUUUUAUCAUUGAACCUCGUCUCUGUAUUGAGUAUAACAAACCUAACUGCCUUCGUAGUGAUUAGUGUUACCUCCAGUAUUCUCUGGGUGAAAUUCCCAG